rnacentral:lncRNA from 1 species
GGCCACCACUGUACUUUAUGCUUACUUCUUUUUUAACUUGUAUAUUUUAAUGAAAUUAUUAUUUUUCAUGUCUAUGUCCUCUACUAGAGUGGGAAUUUAUUGAGAGAUAAAGUGAAAUUCUAUUCAUCUUUUUUAUCUCUAGAGUCUGGCAUGGUGUUUGGAUCACAUUAGCAAUUCAAUAUAAAUUCUUUGAUUGAUUUUAUGGAAAGGAAGGAAGGAGACAAGAAGAAAGAAGGGAACGAAGGAGCUAAUCUGGAUAUCGAACAGUGACUACCAGAAAUCAAUGGAAAACAUCCCAGAUUUUCGAUGCUGGAGUUUGGCAUGGCAAGAGAUUAAAGGGAAAGAUGAGUAGCGCCUUACUAACUUGCUCCAGGGACAAAGAAUG